ensembl:lncRNA
CCCCCCCCCGCUUGCUUACAGGAAAUCUGUGUGAUGUAGAGAGCACGGAGGGUGAGCCCUCUGCAUGGCUGGUACAGCAUGUUCUGUAACAUUCGGCACGGAUGAAAAGCUGUGUGUUCCCACUGGUACAUGUUUGUUUGUUUGUUUGUUUUCUUCAAAUUGGGGUGAAGCCAUGUGACAUGAUAGUGACCUGCUUUAAAUGUGUGACUCAGUGGCAUUUAGUACACUCGCAAUUUGGGGCUAUUAUCACCUUUAUCUAGUUUCAAAACAUUUUUGCCAUACCAGUGGAAACCCCAUACCACCCCCAGCUUCCCUCGUCUUUCAGCUUCUGGAAACUGCUAGCGUGCUUUCUGCUCCUAUGUUUUGACCUUUUCUGGAUAUUUUAUAUAAAUGGAGUCUUACAGUGAGUGACUUUAUGGGUCUGACUUUCCUCCUUUACUAUGUAUUUUUUUUAAAGACAGGGUCUCAUAAAACCCGCGCUGACCUCAGCCCCUAUGCAGCCCUCAAACUCUCUGUGUCUGGCUAGGGCUGGCCCUGAACACUGGAUUACAGGCAUGUGUCUGUGCCUGGUUCUAGCUUAGUAUUUUUGAAGUUCGCCUGUGCCAAGUACUUCGUUUCUUUGUGUUGCUGGCUAAUACGACAUUGUAUGUGGCUUUACCUAUUUCCAGUUAUGGGAUAUUUGUGUUGUUUCUGCUUUCGGCCUAUUGCAAGUAGUCGUGUAUGUGUGUUUAGACCACAGGUUAGUUGUACAGAUGACGCCCGAGAGGAAAGACAACAGGCAGCUAAGAAGAGCUUGCUGGCAAGCAGGCUCUGGGGGCUUCUAGAGUUUUCUCUCUGUACCUGCCUGCUCUACAAUGUUGUAAAUAAAAUGAGGUGCUGUGCACAGAAGAGGCCGUGGCACUCUCCACAGACAGGAAGACCCCUUGCUUUGCAGUAUUAUUACUUCUCAUUGGGAGAACACUGUAUGGUUGUCCACAGGCUAAACUGCUUUAGGUAGUAAAGAGUUUCUCCUUAGUACAUCAUGCUAUUCUGGCGCCUUGUAUUUAUCAGUAUAGACACGUCCCAGUAGUUAAAAGUAGCUCAGAGGUAAGCUCCUGAUGUGGACAGUCAGGAGGUUACAUCCCCAGGAGAGGGUGCAUACAGCAUAAAGUCCUUUCUGUGAUGCCGGUAUAGACAUCUGUCUGGCUGUUGGAAAUGGUGCCUCUCCUGCAUGCUUUUGCUAUUCGUUGGAGUUCCUGUAUUGAAGAAGUGUGAGGUGAUGGCAGAAAGGAAGGUGGGAGAGAAACAGUGCUUCCUCCUCCUCUAGGCCUCUCUGCUGUGCAGCACCCACACUGUGAGACUGAACCCAGCCACUCGUCGCUCCCCUUGAGGAAAGGUUUAGAAGGUGUGCUUGUUGAGGGGGAAAGUGUGUUUUGUCAGAAAUGGAGGAGCAUGACCUUGUCUAGUCUUUGUUUCCCGGCCUGAGUCUUUACAUCCAAACACAACGGCAAGUUGCUUGUGUAGAGUUUGCGCACGAAUGUUCAGUAAAGCAUUCUCCUCCUCUGAAUUAGGGAAGCAUUGGAGAAUGUCUGCAGCCCUUAAAAUUUUAACUUACAGGUCAAACACAUACUUGUUUAUUUGGUAAAUUAGUUCCAUGAGUGCCCAUUUAAAUGGAACCCUCCUCCUAGCUGGUCUCCCAUGAGCCACUGGGGAGCCACUGGGGAGACAGCAGUUAAGCCAGAGUCUAACCAGGCAGGGACCAGGAAAUCCCAAGAACCAGCUCUCUGGGGCCUUUGGAAAGAAGUGUCUGAAUUCUGAGUGUGCUCCAUGCCUCUUCGCCUCCCUUACAGACUUAAAACAGCCACUCCAGGACGUGAGGCCAGAGUCAACAUCGUGUCUGGAGAUGACAAGGUUGCUUUCCUUAGUCUGGAUAGGUAUUUGGUGGUGGUGGUGGAGCUCAAGUUUUAGAGUUUCAAUGCUAGAGAAAUGCACAGUUUGAAAGCCUGAUGCUUAUUCCUGAAAGUCAUUCUUUCAAGUGCUUUCUUUUUCAUUGUCCUUGAAACCUCCAACUUUAAAGGGAACAUGGAGCAGUAGAAACACUUACAUGCCUGCUUCUGUAUGUUCACCGGCUGUCAACAUUUGCUAUUUCAUGUUGUUAUGCAAAGGUUUAGAUGUAUGUGUUAGCUGCAGAAGAAUGCUUAUUUAAGUAUCCUUGAAGACUUCAGAAUAAGAAGAUUUUCUAUAUAUCCAUAAUGCUAUUAUGAAAUAGUUCCAAGUCAGAAAAAAAGUAAAAAGUGCUGUGAUUAGACUAAAAAAAAAAGGGGGGGGAUUAUAAUGAGGUCAUUAGUUUCCCCAUUCAAUUUCAUGUAGGAUAAAUUUGGUAUCUAUUAAUAAACUACCGAAUAAUUUAUGGAUAGCCAGGGCUACACAGAGAAACCCCAUCUCAAAACAAAAAAAGACUUUAUCAUCCAAAACUGGGGAGAGGCCAUUUUCAUUAACAUUUGUGAAGUACCGCUGUGAACAAGCACGUCUUCCAUCUUGUCAAGCAGCAGAGAACGUUGGCCCCAAAGAGAAGGUCCCUUCCAGUCAGUGGUUGCGUUUGCAGUGAUUAAAGUGGGCUGGCUGGCUGGGCACUCGUCAGCAGUGAGGUGUGUCCCAGAGUCUGAAACUCUAUUUUCUUUUUUUCCCCCUUUUUGUUUUUGUUUUUUUCUCUUUUACAAUUCAGUGGCCGUGGACAUUUCUAAUUUUGAAUUCCUGUUUUGCAUAUCAAGUGUAGAAGCUAUGACUUUGAGGAUGAGUUUUGUACUUUGUCCUGUAAACAGACUUAAAAAGCAUUGACUGUGACCUGCACGUGCGGUUUCUUGUGUAUCUCAGGCGCACCUUUCCUCCCCCUUGCUUAAUGGGCUCCUGUUUCCAAUUUGUGUUAGAGCUCUGUGCGAAAUCUGGACUCGAGUUUAUGCAAGUCCUAAGAUCGAGCACAAGUGUGUGGCGAUAACAGCCCUCGAGCCGCCUUUGUGACAAGCCUCUGUUGAGUUCUGGAGUCAUUCUCCAGCAACGCCAAGCGCUCACGCUGCACAUGGAAAUUGCAGAUGCCACUACUUGAACUUGGCCACCAAGUAUGCGCAUGUAAUAUCUGUUGGCAGCGUAGUAGUUUUUGGCUACUCCGUGAGGAUCCCUCCCCAUCCCCUCUGUUUGUUUGUUUCAGUGCUAGGGAUUGAGACCCAGAGCUUCGCAAGUUCCAGAUCACAGCUCUGUUACUGAGAACUACAGCCGGGAUCUGACAUUCUGUUUUUAAGAAACAAGUUUUCUCAUGUUAAAGUGGGAGGUUGGGCUCGUUCAUUAUUUAUCCUUUCAGUAAGGAAACAUUAAGUGCCUACUUUGUGUCAGUGCUGUUCAGAGAGGGACAAGAGAAAACUGUUACUAUGGGAUUGUGUGGUAGAGUCCAUGAACAGGCACAGAUAGAAAAAACAAACCCUUGACUAUCCUAGGGUAGUGAUGUGAGGGCAGGACGCUCCAUUGGAGGUGAGACGGUCAGUAAGACAUUUCUGAACAGAUGAAUCCCAUCUGACCAGUGAAAGGACGUGUAGGAGGUUCACCCAAUAGUUCAAGGCUGAUAGAAAAAGCAACCAGGGCAAAAAGACACACACAAAGCUACAGAAGCAGAAAACACACACAUGUUACAAUGUGUGGGUUUCUGAUGGUCUGUGUGACUAGAGCUUGGGACCACAGGAUAGUGAGGGACACGAGCCUAGAACUUUACAUGUCGUUCCGGAGACAUUGUCCCUCAUGCUGUCAGUGGGGGGACUGUUUUAGGAUUUUUCUUUUCAUAAAACAUUUAGUUAUUUAUCUGUUGAUCACUGUGCCGUCCUCUAUGUGCAGACACAGCAUUAACAUUAAACGUGUAAUGGAAAAUCAUAUUGGAAGUUAGGAAAUUAUUGUAAGUUAAAAACUCUUCCCAUCUUUGGAAUUUCGAUAAGCAGGAGACAGAAUUGUGGGGGUUUUGUUUUGUUGUGUUUUGUUUUUAUUUCAGGACCUUCUAAAAAGAAGUUCCACGGUUAAAUUUGUGCUUAGAAACAGUAUCACUGCAACAGUAUGGUGAUGUAGCAAAGAGGAGCUGGAAUCCAGAGCCAGAGCAGUAACUACUCUGCUCCUUUACAAGUCGGUGGAGAGGCAAUGGUCUCUGGCCAUGGGGUGCAGACUAAAGCUACAUGAAGCUGGUUCCAAGGAUCAGUUGAGCAGAACCCCCAAAUGUGAUUGGACCCCAACAGACACUGACAGAGAGGAAAUGGCUGAGAACAGUGUCCAGAUCUCUGGUUUAGGCAACUUCAUGGGUGAUGUCAUCAGGAUAUGGGCGUGCAGUAGGUCAUGAGAUUGGGGUGUGAGAUUAAUGUGGGUGGCAGAACAGAGAUUAGUGAUAAAAGCUCUAGGAAAUGGACAUUUAGUGACAAGGCAAGUACAGAAGCCUUCCAAGGAGUGGUGUGAAGGGAAGAGGAAAAUUUGGGGUGGGGUGUGCCUCUAGAGAGAGGCUUGUGCCACAGAGGCCAAGCAUUCCCCCCUGGAUUUGUCACGUUAAUAAGUUGAGUAGAACUGUCAUGAACAGUUGAUGAGGAGUAAGAAAUAAGAAGGACUAUGAUCCAUUUAUACCAUGAUGGAAAAGAAAGCAAACGGGCAGGUUUUUUGGUGGUUGUUGUUUUGUUUUUUUCGUUAUUUAAUGUUGGUUUUUGAGGUUAAAAAUCUUGAGCAUGUCUGCAUUGUAAAGGAGAGAGACGUUCUUUCUCUUCUUUCUCUCCUCUCUCCCUCUUGUCUUCUCCCAUUAAACCUCUCCACAUGGCAAAAACAAAAAGGAGAGAGACUACCAAUGAGGAAGAGGAAGACAAAUUAGUGGGAUGAUGUCUGUAAUAAAUACAAUCUGAGGGCAUAUUGGCCGGAACACUCCUGAGGCAGAAUCCUAGGAAGAAAGAUCUAUUCAGAUUUGCAAAAGGGAGAGGAGGAGAAGGGAUGUGGGGCUUGAAAGCUGGAUAUGUGAGGGGUGAGCAAUCCAUGAAAUGUGCAUUCGGGUCUGGGCUGGGAAGCCUACUCAACAGAUACUUUCAGGAUACAUUCAAGUCUGCUUUGAAAGCAUAGUCAACGGAUACAUUGUAUCAGAAGCAUAGUCAACGGAUACAUUGUAUCAGAAGCAUAGUCAAAGGAUACAUUGUAUCAGAAGCAUAGUCAACGGAUACAUUCGGAUCUGUAGGAAGCUUAGUCAGCCUAUGAAAUUGUUGCCUCGCCUCACGCACACUGCACUGGAUUUUAAGACCACACUCAGCCUCUAGACUCUCCAAGUUGACACUGGAACACAGUAGGAGCUUUAUUGCAUUCCUGCGGGACACAAGACUUCCAGUGAGUUGUUGGCUUAAGACGUCCCAGAGGCCUGGCCAGAUCAUUCUUGGAACAGGGUUGAAAUCCACUUCCUUUUCUUUCUGAGCUCUUAGGAACAGAGUGGAGGACCUUCUGCAUUCUCUAGCUUGCGUCCUUGAGAAAUUUUACACUUACAACCUUUUUUCAGUGCCUGUGUGUUUAUGAACCUAACCUAACAGUAUUAGUAAGAGGCUGUUAGCUGCUAUAAAGAUAACCAGUCUUUACAGAAAACAAGGAGAACAUUAUUGAGCUUCAGUUGCUCUUUUGACAAAAUGCACCUGGUGAAUGUGUACAGAAUUUUCUGUUUUCAGCAGCAGAAUUUGCAUCCCCAGUAGUGCACACAGAGCUGUUUCCAGUAUAGGUUAUAUGGUAGACCACAAAAAUGUGUUAAUAUAUUUAAGGAAAUAAAAAUUCGACAUAGUAUUGUUUCUGACUACAAGGGUAUGAAAGUAGGAAUUAAUAAUGGAAAGAACCUUAGAAAAUACACAACAUGCUCCCCAAGCAACCAACCAAUAGAAAAGAACUCAGAAAGGAAACUUGAGAAUAUCUUGAGGGAAAUGACAGCAGAAAUGUAGACUUCCUAAGCUGCAUGCAAGAUGCCCCACAAGGAGUGAUUACAACAACACAGGCCUGCAUUCAAGACGGAGAAAUACUCCAAAUAAACAAUCUGAAACUUCAGCUAAAAGAAUAGGAUGAAGAAAAAUUGAAGCCCAAAAUAAGUGGGAGAAAACAAUAAUCAUCAGAAUGAAAUAAAAAGCCACGAAACCCAUAGAAGUAACCAUACCAAGAGUUUUAUAUACAUAAAAAAUAAUAAUCAAACGGACCAAUCCUUAUCUAACCUAAGAAAAAAAUAAAAGAAUAUUCAAAAAUUGUAAAUGAAAGCAGAGGUUGGAGAGAUGGCUCGGUGCGUAAAUUCCUUGUGUGGAGGAUGGAGCUUCAAGCUUGGAUCCCCAGGACCUACAUAAAAUCGGGGUGGGAGCGGAGGCCCGCCUGUAGUUCCAGUCCAGGAAGAAGGGAUUUAGAGCAAGUCGGUUAAGCCAGGGUAGUAAAACAAGAGCUCUGGGUUCAGUGAGAGGUCCUGCCUCAGUAGAUAAAGUGGAGAACUAUUGAGAAGACACCAGGCCUUGGGGCCUCUUCAUGUACACAUGUGGACCUACAUGCACACACACAAGCACACAUGUGCACCUAUGCAUAGUCAACAAAAAAGGGGAAAAAGAAAACAAUGAAAGUGAGUGAUCGCAGCAGAUUCCCCCAAAGUAAGAAGACACACCGUGCCAUUGUAAGCAUUUCUGGGCCAACAGUUUAGAUUACGUAGAAGUGGGUAUGUUCCUAGAAGAGUAUACCAGUUCCAGAAGUAAGUCGGGGAACACUGAGAAAGCUCGAGUGGACUAGUAGACAAAGAGACUGAAGAAAUCAUUAAAAAAAUCUCCCAACCAAGAGCAGCCAAGGCCAGAUAACUUCACAGGUUCGUUAUAUCAGAUUCUAACAAAGAAUCAAAGCCACGCUGGCUAUGCUCAUCGUGAAAGAAGCAGAGAACGUCCAAACCCAGUCUGUCAGCCAGCACCCUUUCUUAGUAACCGUUCUCAGGACAAGUGUGUGAGGAGACCCAGUGUGACAACAUCAACCAUCAGGCCCGUCACUAGCAUCAUAAUCCCACAGGAAACUGAGCUGUAUGAUAAGAACCAGUACAGAUUAAAGUGGCCACUCUGGAACUUGUCUUCAACAGUGUUGGAUGCACUAAAAAGGGCAAGGGGAAAAAAAGAUAGAAAGGAAGAUUUAUAUAAUCUUAUACAUAAAAACCCCUCAAAGAUAAACAAAAUACAGUUAGAACUAACAAGUGAGGACAGCAAAGUUGCAGGAUACAAUAACCAACGUGCAAAGGCCAGUAACAUUUUAUAUACAAAUAAUAACCUAGCUAAUGAAACUCAAGAAAAUGACUGCAUUUAUAGCAGCGCUAAAAACUGUAAAACACUUAGGAAUAAAUGCGAUCUUGAUGUCGAAGAUGGAACUUGCCCCAAGGAACUGGAUGCCCCUAGUCAGCAGGAAGUAGUCCAACAAUGAUGGAGUCCUCUUUCCCUUUGAGCCUUUCUCGCUCCCAUCUAGUGUUAGGGAUUGAAAGGGUGGGAGGAAAAAGAACCCACAAAGGGGGAAGAAGUUACACCCUGAGAAGAGGGAACCUCAGCUGUGGAACCACCUUCCUCUUGCUGGCCCGUAGACCUGUCCGUAGGCAUUUCCUAAAUUGCAUGUCGAUGCAGGAGCGCCACUGUGGGCAGCACCAGCUCUCUACAGGUGAGCAUGGAUUGCAUAAGAGAAGGGGCCAAGCAAACCAUGAGCAUCCUUUUCCCGUGGUUCCUGUGUCUGCCUCUGCUUGAGAUCGUUCCCUGACUUCCCUCAGUGAUGGGCUUUGGGCAGCGUUUUAUAACAGGAUCAGAAACCAAACAGUUGGUUUUGUAUCCUGCCACAUCACCGAAAGUGUCAGUCAUUUCUAGAAGUUUUCUGUUGGAAGUCUUGGGGUCUCUUACGUAUAACGUAUCAUCCUCGAAUGGAGAUAAGUUGACUCGUUCUGUUUAUGUUUCUUUAAUUUACUUCUCUGGUCUUAUUGUUCUAACUAGAGCAACAGACACGGCAUGGAAAAGGAGUGAGGGUAGCACACAGUCCUGCCUCAUUCCUGAGUUUAGUGGGGUUAUUUUGAGUUUUUCUCUGUUUAGGAUAGUGGUUCUCUAUCUGUGGGUUGUGUGACCCCUUUGGGGGUUGGAUAUUAGAUAUCUUACAUACUAGAUAUUUUCGUUACGAGUCUUAGCUAUCAAAAUUAUAAUUAUGAGGUAGCGAUGAAAUAACGUUAUGGUUUGGGGGGAGGGUGGGUCACCGCAACAUGAGGAACUGUGUUAAAUGACCGCGAUAUUAGAAGUUUGAGAGGCAUUGAUUUAAGAUGAUAUUGGCCGUGGUUAUGUCAUAUGUAGCCUUUGUUAUAUUAUACUUUAUAUUAUACUGUGUACCUUCCAGUCCUGUCCUCUCCAGAACUUUGUAAAAGCAUUUUGAAUUUUGUUAAAGGACUUUUCUGUAUUUAUUAAGUUCGGCAUGCAGGCCAUUCACGUGAUUUACUGCACUUAGUGGCUUAGGUAUGUUGAACCAUUCUUAUAUCUCUGGGAUGAGCCCACUGGAUCCUGGUGGGCGAUCUUUUGCCGGAUUCCUGUGUUUGGGUUCUGGGAAUUCUACUGAGAACCUCUACAUCUCUUUCAUUAAGGACAGAGUUUCUUUUGAAGAGAUCUAGUUUCUUUUGCUGUGCCUUUAUAGGGAUUUUGGAAUCUAGAGUAAUACCAGCAUCAUAGGAGUCCAGGAGUGCUCCUCCCAUUUCUUUCUGUUAUUUGAAAAUAUAAUUUUAAUAAGAAUUGGUUGUAGAUUUUCCUUUGAAAAUUUAGUAGAAUUCUGCUGAGAAUCCAUCUGGGCCUGGGCUGCUUAUUACUAUUGCUAUUAUAAGGAAGAGGAGGAGGAGGAAGAAGAGGAAGAGGAGGAAGAGAGGGAGGAGGAGGAGAGGGAGGAGGAAGGGGAGGAGGAGGAUGUUAGUACUGUUUAAGUCACCUUGUUAUGGGCCUGUUUAAGUUGUUGAUUUCUUCUUAGUUUAACUUUGGUGGUUUGAAUGAAUUUAGAAAGUUAUCCAUUUCUUUUAGGCUUUCCAGCAUAAUGGGGUAUAAGUAAGUUUUUAAAGAAUUAUUCCCUCUUAAUAUUCUGAAUUUCUUUGGUAUCUCUUGUAAUUUUCUCCCAUUUAUCUCAGACUCUGUUUAAUUUGGUUCCCCUCUUUCUUUCUGUUGCUUAAUUGGCCCAAUGCUCUGUUGGUCGUGUUUACUUGGUCAAGGGGCCAACUCUUACAUCCAUUGAGUCUUUGUAUUGUUCUCUUUGUUUCUAUUUAAUGAAUUUCCACUCUGAUUUCUAUUAUUUCUUGCUGUCUACUGGGUUUGGGUUUGUUUUAUUCUUCUUUUUCCAAAUGCUUGAAUUGCACCAUUUAGUCAUUUAUUUGUGUUCUUUCUGACUUUUUUUUUAAAGUAGGCACUUAGGGCUAUAAAUUUCCCCCAUACAACUGCUUUUAAUAUGUUUGAGAGGUUUUGUUGUGUUUUGCUUUUAAUUUUAUUUAAUUACAGAAAUUUUUACUUAGUUUUUUAUUAUUUUUUGACCCAUUCAUCAUUCAGUAGUGUGUCAUUUAAGAUCCAUGAGUUCCUGUAAUUGCUAAAGUUCUCCUGUUGGUUUUAGGUUUUAUUUCAUUGUGGCCAAAUAGGAUAUACAGAAUUAUUUCACUGUUUCUGCAUUUGUUUUGUGUCCCUGCAUUUGGUCUACUUCAGAGAGACUUCCAUGAGUGAAUAAUAAAAUGUAUAUCCUCUGGUGUUUGGAUGGAACAGUCUAUAGAGAAUCUGUUAGGUCCAUUCGUUGUACAAUGUUGUUUAAUUCAGAUGUCUCUUUACUUUUUUGUCCAGACAACCUGUGCAUUAGGGAAAGUAGGGUAUUGAAAUCACCUACUAGUGCUGAGCUGGGGCUAGCUUGCAUCAUGAGAUUCAGUGGUACACUUUCUAUGACAUUGAAUGCACUGGAGUUUGUGCAUGUAUGUCAUAUGCAGUGUCUUCUUGGUUAACUGUUCCCUUCGUAAGAAUGAAGUAUCCUUCCUCUCUUCUGGUAAGUUUAGGUUGGAAUGUGUUUUGCCAGAGAAUAGGAUAGAAAUGCCUGUUUGUUUCCUGGUUCUGUUUGCUUGGAUCCUUUUUCUCAUCCUCUCUCUCUAAGGUGGUACCUAAGGUGAGUUCCUAGAUGUUUGGUAGUGAGCUGAGCCUCUAAUGGCUGAACCAUCUCUCCAACCCAUGAUAACUUUCUCACAGACACUGAAAGUUGGAUUUUAUUUCUUGAUUAAUUCAACUAAACAGUUUCUUUUUAUGUGGGAUUGAGGCCAUUGAUUAAAUGCAUGUUAUUCCAUUAAAUGUGUGCCUCAGUUGAUGUUAUUCUUUUCUAUUUGUGUUCCUGGUCCUGUUUUGUGUUUCUUUCCCCAUGGGCUUACUUGUUUACUGUCAGUGGACUCUUGGAUACCCUUAUUCCUCUCCCGUCUGAGGCAGUACCCUCAGUGCUCUCUGUAGGGAUGGCUUGGUGAACUGGAUCGUUCCAGCCUAUUUAGGUCAUGGGAAGUUUUUCGUUCAUCUGUUAUUAUAGCAGAUAGUUUUUCUGGAUAAAGUCGUCUGGGUCAGCAUGUGUGGUCUUCUAGAACCUGGAGUCACGUGACUCCAGGAUCUUCUGGCUUUUAGUUUCCAUGGAGAAGUCAGCUGCUAUGCUGAUGGUUUUUUCUUGUAUAUGGGAUGUAUGCUUCUCCCCUGAAGCUUUCGGUGGCCUCUCUCCAUUCUAUGUAUUCUGUGUUCCCAUGCUGUGGGGAGGAGGGGGCGCUUCUUUCCUGGUCCUAUGUGCUUCUUGUGUCUGUACAGAUGUGUCUUUCCUCAACUGGGGAAGUUUUCUUCUGUGGAUCUGAAGAUAUCGCUUCUGCCAUUGCUUUGGGAGUCUUCUUCAUCUGUACCCAGAAUUUAUGGAUUUUUCUUGCAUGGUUUCCUGCAUAUGAUUUUAGUUUUUUUUUCAUAUUCCUUGCUUGAGGGGUCCCUCUAUUUUCAAGACAUGGUAUCCUGCCCCUGCUUGGUCCCUUCUACUGGUGACGCUCCCCCAGAUCUUCUACUUGAGUGGUUUUCAAUUCCAUCUUCACUUCAGAUUGAUUUUCUUCAGUUAUCUAAGUAAUUAUCGUUAGGGACACAUCUACAGCGCCAGUGGGUUGAGCAAGGGUCAUAGAGUCGCGUCCUUUCUUACUGUGUGCGUUUCAGUGACAUGACCUGGUCACGGGACUUGACUUCUUUUCCUUGGUUGUCCCACAUGAGAUUCUAGUCUGGCCUUGUUGAGUGGAAGUGUGUCUCUGAUCCAUCACUAGGCUGACACACAGGCCGAGCUUGGUCCCUGAGUAUGGGGAUGAUAUGGGUCCAUGUGAAUCUAAGGCUGGCUGGCUGGGUAGGUACAGCUAGCCUGGGAGUGGGUUGAUGGUGUGGGCAGGAAAUCUCUAGGCUAGGCAGACGUGGCUGAACCUACGUGUGUGUGGACAGUGCAGGAAUGUGAGCUUCUGAGGGACUCACUGCCCGUGCCGAAGAAUUGAGUGGGUCAAUGCCACCUGAAAAUGAAUAAAUCCUCGUGACCGUGGAGGGGCAGUGGCUGACAGAACGACGUUCAGUUUGAAAAGGAGGUCUUGUGUGGCCACAAAUCAUAUGAAAAAAAUAUAAAAUAGCAAAAGCCUUGGAAGGUACACAAAGCCUGUAGUGACUCGAUGCAUCGCCCGCUGUCCUAGAGAAAUGCUUUGCACUGUGUGUGGGGAAAUACACAGGAGGAUUUGCUGGGAGCUGGAGCGUCACCCCCUCUGAUGUCGGAAAAGUCAACAGUUUGAGAUCCCCCAUCUUUGCAGUCUUGACAUGUUAAUGGAGUCAGAUGGAAACAUCGGUUGGUUAUAUGGAGUAUAUGUUAUAUAAAUCCUCAGGAGACUACUUUGAGCUUGAACUAUAAUAGCUCCUUAGGUUUUUCUAAAAAUGUAUGCAAAAUACAUGUAAAUGGAAGAUAAUGAACUGACAGGAGGCUUUGCACACAGCUACGCUCUAUCGGCUUGUUCUUGCCUGCCUAUAAGACUUCUAGGAUGUUGGGUUGGUGACACCAUUUUAUUAUUAUUAUUAUUAUUAUUAUUAUUAUUAUUAUUAUUAUUACACAUGUGGUUGUAGUUGUUCAUUGUUCAACUAAAUUCUAAGAGGACAUAGUUCUAAAAUACGGGUUGAGUACCUUUAUUCCAAAAACUUUAAAUAUUCCAGAAUUUGAAACUGGCAUGAUACUGCAGGUGAGAAGUUCUACACUUGACACCAUGUGUCAGGCUACAGUCAAAAUGCAAUUAAGCCAGAAAUACUGUACAAAAUUGAUCUUCAGGUUGUGGGUAUAAGAUAUGCAUGAAACAAGGAUGAUUUUUUUUUGUUUCACCUAAGUUCUUUUUUAGGCGAGAGAGAUUAGAUAGGUAGGUAGGUAGGUAGGUAGAUAGAUAGAUAGAUAGAUAGAUAGAUGAUAGAUAGAUAGAUAGAUAGAUAGAUAGAUAGAUAGAUAGAUAGAUAGAUGUGCAAAUAACCCUCCCCCAGUUUAAAAAAAUCUCAAAUUCAAAAUACUAUGUUGGGGGUUAGAGAAUUAGCUCAGCAGUUAAGCAAAUACUACUCUUGCAGAAGAGAACCGAGUUUGGAUCCCAGCAUCCAUCCACGUUGGGGGACUCACGAGUACUUGUAAGUCCAGUGUCUUCUUCCGGCCUCCGCAGGCACCCACACACAUGCAGCACCUGCACACUUCGACACGUACAUAAAAAUAAGCCACGUUUAGAAGAACAAUAGAUGAAGCCAUCUACCUGGUCAGCUCAGGCAUCUCACGUAAGGCCUGGCACUGCAGCCCUUUAAUACAGUCUCUCACCUCGUGGGGGCCCCGACGUAAAAUCAUCUCAUUGCUACUGUAGUGUAUGACUCUUAAAUAUCUGAUAGGCGGGCCCUGUGGAAGUCGCUACCCACAGGUGGAGAACCAGUGGAGGGAUAUUCAGGUUGAGUAAGAUACACGUUCAAAAUACAACAUACAGAUAGGAAGGAUUAGGUGAUGCCUUUUUUUCUGUCUUGGACUCUUCACUUUUUUGGGUGAAAGACUCAAUUCAGAUGACCAAGCUAAGCUCCUUAAACAAAGAAGUGGUGUUUCCCUUGCUGUUUGUUCUCAGUCCCCUUGUUUCUCCGUAGAAGACUCCCUUACUCAUUCCGAUAGCCCUCUUCUCUGCUCUCCCCAGCUUAAUGGAAGGAGCAGCAAGAGAUAACAUUGCUCUCCAUGAGCUUCUGACUACAACCACCCAUGGUGAGACUUUGUCUAGCUGGGCCUUGAGAAAAGGGUUUGGUUAGCCUUUAGUAGCCCCGUACUUAGCCUAUAUUGAAUUUGUCAGCUGUCGAAGCAUGGUGGGCGAGCCUCACAUUUUAAACACAGCCGACGUUUGGACCCGUUCUUGACCCAGCAAAAACUAUCGGAAGUUGUUUCCAGCAUCCACAGUAUUUGUUUUUGUAAUGGUUUGUUUUCUGGGUCAUUAUUUUAACCACCGUGAAUACAGACCUGUCCGGAUCACAUCCGCUGGCUUUUGCAUUGCAGAGUCUGACUUGACUGUUUGCCUAGGGGAGGUGAAUGACCCCAUAGGAAAGCAGCCUGUUUUCUGAUUAAUGCAGAAGGAAAGAAGUAAAAGAGAACCAAGAUGAGUAGAAAGGUUUAGGUUUUAGUAACACCAUCUAUUUAUAUAUUAUUAGUGAUAUGUUAUUGAUAUAUUUGGUAAUGGCAUUCUGAGGAAUUUCAGUAGGGAGCCCUCACCGGGUUGGUUAGGAAGGAAGAGCUGUUGAGAACCAUGCUGUAUGACUUUCUGUAUCAUUAAGCGAGAUAAGCAUACCUGGGUGAUGCUCACGUGUGCUCAGGCCUAUUUAAGCUUUGCCGCCAGGACUGCGGAAGUUUGAUGUUCAGCUGGAGUACUGGAGCUUAGUGGGUUCUAAAUAACUUAAUUCCUAUGCUCCCAUUCUCACCUCUCCCUCGCUUCCUCCUUUCCCCCUUCCCUUCUUUCCAGCUCCAUCCUUCUUUCCUCCCUCCCUUUAUUUCAUUUCCGGACUUUCCCAUCCCGGGGAAACAGCUCAGAGGCCGUCCUGUAUCUCCAUUACCAUUUCCCAAGUGUCCCUCCCCAGGCCGAUUCAGAGAACCCGCAGGGUGUAGAACCAGGUUACCUGUCUCCAAAGUUUCCUCACAUCCCACAAGCAGGCACGCAAGCUGCACCUACUAGUUCUGGAGAGAGCUGAUCUGAGCUGCGUGCCCUGGGGAGACGUUUGGUUAUAAGGGGGACCAAUUCUAGAACUGAAAAGUUCUCUCCUUUUAUAUGAAUAGCAAAGUUGAUUGAUUAAGAUGUGUCAAUCAGGUGCUGGGCGUGUGCAAAGCUAUUUCACGGCUUUUCCUAGAACCGAACGGCUAUUUUUAAGUGUGACUAUAUUAUCCUCAGCCAGGCUGCUGGAUGAAAAAGUACAAAGGGCUAAAAAUACUGAAGAGUUUCUGUAAUGUCUGUUUUAAAAGGACCCAUCUUCUGCAAUCCCUUCUGUAAUAUCGUGGCUUUGGCUGUGAUUGAAAGUGGUUUCUCAGUGAUUAUGUUUUAAGACAGAUGACCAUCCAAAAGGGCAUUGGCUGGAUUGUAAGUCCUGAACAAAUGGGGAGAAUCAAAGUAGGUGAUUACUGUUAGACCACUCCUCUGUGGUUGCUACUGUUUGGGACAUGCGGUUUGGUUUUUUUUUUUUGUUGUUGUUGUUGUUGUUGUUUGUUUUAUUUUGGUUUUUGUUGUUGUUGGUCUGUUUGUUUUGAGACAGGGUCUCUUUAUAUAGUCCUGUCAGUCCAGGAAUUCAAUGAGCAGACCACGCUUACAUGUCAGGAGUGUUGGUUAAGCCGUGAAUCCUGGCUAAGUUGUUUGCCUCUCUGGCUGUUGUGCUGGCAUUUGUGAAGCUGGAGUAAGAGGAAUGCUCGCCCCCUAAGGUGUCUGAGGAUUAGUUUGGAGUGGAGCCAGGAUGUGGUAAAGACUCAGUGUGUAUCGGAAGCUUUCGGGUUUUUCCAUUUAUUUCAGUGUUCUUUUUUAAAUUCCGGCUAAAUAAACACAAUAUGCAUUCUCUUUUUAAGUGUAUCGUUCAGUAGUGGUGGAUAUAUUUAAGUUGUUGUGUAACAGAUCUGUAGGAUUUCCAUGUUACAGCCCCGAAGUGUUUGUUAUUGUUAUUAUUUUAAAUCUCGCUCUCUCCCACAGUCGGUCGCACAGCUCUGUGGACGUGGGACGUCGACUCCGCUAGCUAAGCAGGAAUUUUAACUGCUCGAAGGGGCCAGCACCAGCACUCCCCCCCCGAAUUUCUUGAAUGAAUGAUUAAGAACAAUGACACAGUGAAUGCGGUUUUGAAAAACUAUUUCUCACUUAACAAGUAAAUCUAUUUUUAAGCAGGUUCACGUGGAGUGGUGUAAAUGGGAAAUUGACUGCCUUCAGAAGCUUAGCUCAUCUGUUUCGAUUUGAAAUAGGGCCUUAUUAUGUAGACCAGGCUAGCCUCAAACUUAUAAUCCUCCUACUUCAGCCUCUUUAGUAUGCGGUUUACAGACAUGGUCCAAAGUGGAUCAUGAGGCAACCAUUUCUUCUUUUUUCUUAGAUUUAUUUUUAUUUAUGUGUAUGUAUAUGAAAAUCUGUGUGUGUGUGUGUGCAUGUGUGUGUGCGUGUGCGUGUGUGUGUAAGGUGCCCAAGGAGGCCAGAAGAGAGUGUUGAGUGUUGGAUCUCCUGGAGCUGUAGGUGGAUGUGAGUCCCCUGACAUGGGUGCUGGGAACUGAACUGCUCCAUAGGCACAAGUGAGUCUUAAACUGCAGAGCGGCUUCUCUACCCGUAACCCCCCAGCCAUUGGUUGUUAAAAUGUAUUUGUACUAUUUCUCAGUUAUUGUAAAUUCUGGCUUUUCUAACUCGGCUUUUCUUCAACAGGAAAAAAGAAUAUAUACUUAGUGUGGGUGGUAAAAGAGAAGAGGGAACACUAGACAAUAUGAAUUUGAAAAGCAUUCAUUUUAAAUUCAUACCUUCUUCUGUUCGUCCAGCCCUGGCCACUGGACUUCUUAUUUGCUUAAGGAACAUAGGAAUCAUCUCAUCCUUCCAUCGGAUCACAAGUUCAGGCCUUCAUCUGUACUCACCAGAAUUAAUAGAACACUGAGAUCCAAUCUGGUCAGGCCUGGCCAAGCCCAGUCUAGUCUGGAUCUGGGUCUGGUCUGGUCUGGUCUGGAUUUGGGUCUACUCUGGGUCUUGUCUGGGUCUAGGUCUAGUCUGGAUCUGGUUUGGGUCUGGGUCUAGUCUGAGUCUAGUCUGGGUCAGGUUUGGGUCUGCUCAGACUUGUCUGGUCCUGUACAUCUGGCCCAGGCUAGCUCAGUCCCUUUUGGGUCUUUUAAAAGAAUGCUUAUUGAACAUUGCCUAGAAAGGGCCAAUGUUCUGGGCAAAAGGAAGAAAACUGUGUCUCUGACUUAAAAGUUUCCAUCUGUAAUAAAUUACCAUCACGUUCUGUGGAUUUUUUUUUAAACGUUAAAUGUUUGAUAGGGUUUAUUUUGCUCAUGGGGAAAGAAAGCACUUCAAUGUUUUUUGGUUUGUUUGUUUUUUAUUUAUUUUUAGCUAAACCUUAGGUUUUUGCUUUAUGACAAAUAGGCAUUGCUACAAGGAGCUCCUUUGGUUUAAACGUUGCCAUUAGGAAGUAAGCACAGAAUGCGGGCUUUGCACAGCCUCACUUCCUUUUACGGGGAGCAGGGCUGGUGGGGGCCUUGGAGGGUGUGCAGGAGACAGGAAGCCUGUGGCCUGCCAGCGUCUUAACGGGUCCACACAACAUGGUGGCCGGCAGGAGUGGGGAGCCAGGUGGCAACACUCCUUUCGUUGGAUGCUUGGCCAACCCUUGCUCAGCUCCAUGGUCUACAGUUACUCGUCUGAUGGCAUUUGGCUUUCACUUUUUCCAUUGUGACUUUUGGAAAGUGACUGUGCCCACUCAUUUGUUCCUGAGCCCGAAGAUGGCGUUUAUCUGUGAAUCAGAGACCAUAAUCUUUUGAAAGGCUUCUCUUGUAUUCUGAGAUUAAAAUAUUCUUGGGCCAGAAUGAUGGUUCCGUGGUAAGCUCAAGGGCCUGAGUUUUAUCACCAGGCCCUACAUGAUGGACGAAGGGAAUCAACUUUUUCAAGUUGUCUCCUAUCCUCCCUACUCAUGUGCACACACACACGUACACACCAACCUACACAAACAUAAAUGUUUGCAAUGAGAACUUUAAAAUGUUCCCAUAUUUGGAUUCUAACAGAAAGAAAAUAUGUGUUUUAAUAUAUAUAUAUAUACAUAUAUUAUAUAUAUCACAUAAAAUAUAAAAGCUAUAUGUUUUUAUACACAAAUAUAGACAUCCCUAAUGUAUCAACUCUCCUUUUUGAUUCUGUCCCUAAAGAGGAAUAGAAAUCAAAGAGUAAGCCUGGCUUGGGGCGUGAGGUCAGGGUCUUACUGAAGCAGCAGCUCAGUUGUCCCUAUCUGUCCCAGGUGAGAAGCCACCCUCCUCCUCAAAGCCUCUUGGACUCCUCUAGCCAGGCUCUCUGCCCAACUCAUCCAGCACCUUCCUUUCUCUGACCAGGGGCCAGGAGCUUCGCAGGGCUGCCUUUCUUUUAGUCCUUUUUUUUCUGAAAUGCCCACAGGGCUCCUACUCUCACUAAUCAUUUUUCUGAGUCUCACUCAUUCUUUACUUCCUCUAGAAGCCCUUCCCAGGAUCCCCACCCUCAGCGGGCACCACCCUGCUGUGCACACUUUCCCUUCUCUUUUCUCUUCAAGUUGUUCUCAAAAUCUCAAGUUUAUUUUCACCUGAGUUUGUUUCUCUAAUGGUUUUCUCUUAGAACACUGUAAGCGCUGUGAGGGAGCAGGGCUGGUUUGUCUGUGUACACAGUAUCAGUUUCUAGCAAGGAGAAGAGACUCAAGGAAAAGAAUUGAUGUGUGAGCUCUUCAUAUCCUUUAUUAGAUGAAAGGUAUAGCCUCUCAGUUACAAGGAUGUGAGAUUGUUUUUCUUUUGUUUUGAGAUAGGAUCUUGCUAUAUAGCCCAGGCUGACCUCCAACUUAUGAUUCUCCUGUCUCUGUGCUACCGUGCAUGACUAAGGAUGUGCAAUCUUUAUCAGGAGUUUUAGAUAAACUAUAGUAGGACACAUAAGCAUUUAUUGAAAGUUGAAUAGGCAUUGUAGCAUGAUUGUCUACGUGCACAGGGGGGUCCUGGCUCUGCAGACGUCUCAGAUGUGGGAUAUGUCACUUGUGGAUUGUUUUCCUCAAUUGGCGAAUGAACAGACUAGCCAGAUCUAACUCACUUAGGCUUCUCAGUUCAUCUACUACUUGGUUAUAGAAACAGUGCUGGGCGUUGCCGUGGGAUAUACAGAAAAAUAAAGUUAGCUCUUUUAUGUAUUCAUUCAUGUAAAAAUGUUUAUUGAAUAACAGUGUAUACCUACUAAACCUUAGAGUAUAUCAUAGUUAAACAUACAUAUCUAUACCACAUUCAUAGAUAUAUGUAUAUGUACGAUAUAGUCGGGCCUAAGAAAAGUGUGUUCUUAUAUAUAAAAUGAACGUAAGAGUGAACCCCAAGAAAGGUACAGAAUGCUGUAUGGGUGUAAACCAAGUAGUGCCAAGGUCAUGGGAAAGUGUCUUGGAUAAAACAGUGAUAUGUUCUCCAAUAAUGGGGCGAACUUUGACAGUUGGAGCUCUAAGAGAAAUUCUGGGCGUGGGAACCACUUGAGGGAAGGCACGGAACUGGGACAACACUUAGAAAAGAGACAGCGCCUUCCUGGGAGCACAGAGAAGAGGCUGUAAAUAGGAAGCGUCUGGCUGAAUGUCAGGUUGAAGCUAUUGGCCUGUACGGUAAGAUGAUCUUUAUAUUUGGGAAAGGAUACUUUCAAUUACCUUGAAAAUGUAAAUAAUUGUGUAUGUGUGUAUGUAUCAUGCACAAUGGGGGGGGGGAAUUUGACUUCUUUCUUUUCCCUUUGCAUCCCUUGAGUCCUCCAGCCCCUCCCUAUCCCUUCAGCAGGUGCUUUGGGCAGUGUAUUCAAGAGGAAUGGGAGUACCGUCCAGCUCUGUCUCAUUCCCGAUUUCAAUGGGACUGCUGUGAGGUGUUCUCCAUUGAUGAUGAUGCUGGCUAUGGGUUUGGCGUAUACAGCCUCUAUUCUGUUGAGAUAUAUUGUCCUAGGUCUUACUGUCACUGGGACUGUUAUCAUGAAGCCAUGUUGGAUUUUAUCAGGGGAUUUUCUGUGUCUACUGAGAUGACCAUGUGAUUUUUGUCUUUAAGUGCAUUUAUGUCAUUUAUUAUACGUACAUUGAACCAUAUUUGUAUCUCCUCAGGAUAAAGGCAACUUGGUUAUGGUAGAUAAUCUUUAUGCUGGGCAUCUGUAUUCUGUUUGCAGGUGUUUAUUGAGGGUUCUUGGGUCUGUGUUCAUCAGGGAUAUUAGCUUUAGUUACUUUUUUGUUGUGUCUCUACAUGGUUUUGUUAUUAGAGCAAUACAGGCUUCAUAGACAUUUGAGAGUGCUCCUUUCAUUGGUUGGUUUUGUUUUGUUUUGGUUUUUGUAUAAUUUAAGAAGUAUUGGCUAUGAAUCUUUGAAAGUCUGGUAGAAUUCUUCCCUGACUCUUAUCUGGCAGGCCCAGUAAGGUUCCAAACAGUAGUGUCUGUGGCACAGAUAGCUUCUGUGAGGCAUAGUCCAGAGCUAUGCACAUGGAAUGUAUGUGUGUGCACACACAUGUGCGUGAAGAGGAAAUUAUGUGUAUAUGUGAGUGAAUAUGUGCACGUGUGUUUAUAUAAGUGAAUGUGUGUGCAUGAAUAUAUGUCUGUGUACAAGAAGAUAUGUUUGCACACGGGCAUGUAUAUAUACACAGGCACAUGUAUAUGAAUAUAAAAAUGCAUGCCCAUGGACAUAUGUGCACAAGAAUGUGUGUGAACACAGAUAUGUAUGUAUACAUGUGUUCAUGUGUAUGCACAAGUGUGGUGGGGCUGUUCUGGUAGAUGGACAGUAUACACAAAUGGAAAGACCAUAAAGCAAAGAAAGAUAAUACUUUCUUCUACUGGAAAAAGACUUUUGUGGUCUUAAGUUAGGACAAUUACAAAAUGUAGCACAACCAUCCAGGAACUUCCACUAUUUUCAUUGAUGACUGUUGACUUUUCCCCUGUUUGUUGAGGUUUCAUUGACUCAUAGCAGAGAAUUGUUUAAAAGUCAAGUGGAAUCUUUGACAUCACAAAGACCAUAAUGACCUCCUAAGAACUGAAUAUAACUGGCCUAUGGGUUAAGGCGCCCACACCAAGCUUGGUUAUCUGAGUUCCGUCCCAGGAUCCACACUAUGGAAAGAAAGAAGUUGUUCUCUGAGCUCCACACAUGUGCUUCAGCAAGCAUGUGGACACACACACACACACACACACACACACACAUACAUGCUGAAUAAAUGAAUGUAAUAAAAUACAUUCUUUAAAAAGAGAAUUGAGUAUAAUCUAAUAAGUAUAAAGACAUUUUGAAGACUGUUCAUUUGUGUGUAUGUAUGUGUGCCUAAGUGAAUUUACAUGUACCGUGUCAGUACAUGUACCUGCAAUGGAUCCCCUGAGACCCGAGUUACAGGCAGUUGUGAGCUAGCCCCACACUGGUGGUGAGAGAUUAAUCUUGGUCCUCUGCGAUGCUGUCCAGGCUCCUCUUCCUUGGCAGUAAGUGCAACCACUUGAAUUCACAACCAGUGGAUCAUAGGAGGGGAAGCAAGGUGAAUUGGCUGGGAACUAAGAAUUGGCUGCACCAUGGGCUGCAGUGAGAAGGCUCUCUGGAGACAUCUUUAGUGAGACAGCUCAUUUAACAAAGGCUACUUAAACCUUUGGGGGUGAGUAGGGACUAGGGGGUGAGUGUACAUCAUUGGCCCAGGCCAGGGUUCUGGGGAUGCCUCAUUUGCAUAAGGAGGAAUUCCUGGUGCUGUUGGACAUGACUUUAUAAGGGGAAAGGAAAUUCAACCUGGUUACCUACUAGCUAAGAGACCUCUUCUGGCGGGGCAAAGGUAGGGGCACAGGGCUACUCGUACAGGGGUAUCAGAGGAACAGUUUUACUUCUGCCGAUAUCAGGAUGAGAUUUCUGGGAUUUGAUCCCACUUUUGCUCCAGGCCUGCUACCUGACUCCAUGGCUCUCUGGCCCCACACUACAAGAACAGUAAGCACUCUUAACUUCUGAUCUACCGCUCCAGCCCCAACUAUAAAGAAUUUUCAAGACAAUCCUCAUGCCCUGUUCAACAAUUUAAGAACAUAAGACACUUAAAUGUUUCAAGUGAAUUAUAUGUUUAUUCAGACUUUGAAAGUUAGAUCACAGAUAAUCUACUGGAACUGUUUCCCAAGUAUUUGUUUAGAUCCAACUGAUACAUUCUUUGUGUGUGGUGCUCAUGGUACUGGGGAAUUACCAAGGGCUUGGCACAUAAUAGGCAAACAGACCAAUCCUGAGCCGCAUUCCAGCCCCUAUGUGAAUUAUUAAGUACCAAAAAGAAUUUGUUGGCACAGACCCUUUGAAAGGUAAGUUGAGCACUUUCUACCCAGUUCAGCAAGGGUAGACUAUAGGGUUAGGGACGUGAGAUGAGUCAAUAUGGUAUUGUAGUGAUAUAAUGACAUGUUGUGUUUGUUACAAAUUGCAGACCUAUGUAAAACAGAAAACAGACCUCAAAUAUUAGCUGUAGAGUAUAGUUAAUAAUAGCAUGCCAGUUCAUUAAUUAUAACAAAUGUAUCAUACUCACACAAGAUGUUACUUAAAUGUGAGAUCCAGGAGAAGGGGAACUUUCCGACAAUUCUUUAAAUAAGCCUAAAACUAGACUUACAUUAAGGCUUAUUACUUGGGAAAAAAAGAGAACUCAAAAACAUUACACACAAAAAAAUGAAAGCCCAUCCUUAAACAAAGUAAAAACCCAAGGCAGCUUCUAUUAUGUAACAUCUGCAUGCAUGUUCUGUUUCCGGUUCAAUAUGUUUCUGUGUGACCCACAUUUUAUUUCAUCAUUAGCUAAUAACAAACACAAGAUUUGGCAAUUCUGUGUGGUGGACAUUUUGACUGGUGAGUGGAAGAGCUGCUUGCCACAUGCCUGGUAGGCUCCCUCCUCCCUGGCUAUAUCCUACCUCUACCCACACACCUGACCUCCAGGCCUAGACCUGUUUUGCUUUCACUAGCAGGCAUUAGGACGAGUGGCCACUAUGCUAAGUGUUUUAUUUUCUCAUGUGCACAUAUCUCACGUGUCUUGUCGCUCUCUUUGGUAGAGAAGAAGGGAAGUCCUUUGGGAAGGAGGAGAUUCCCAUGGUACAGUCUGACUCCAGCCUGCUUGCAUACAUGUGCAUGACUGCUUUUCCCAACCUGCCCCCACCCGCCUGAGUGAGGCGACUGGAAAUGCAGCUAUUUGGAGACGUUGUUACUGAAGUGAUCAGGUCGCUGUGUCUGAGACAGAUUCCACCAACCCAACGGAAGAGUGGUUAACAUGAUACACUAUUGUAACAGCGUUGUUACUGUGUUCAUAUUAUCAUAUCGUAUAUACAUUAUGUGGGAAGCUUGUGUUCAGCUAGUUAAGUCUUAAUGCUCUAUUCAGAGUUCUACAUGGAGAAGUGAUAAGAUUCAGAUGUAUUGCACCCUUGGCUUUGGAAAUAGUAUAUUAUUUUAGUGGUUAGCCAUCCGGCUUCUCAAGUAUGUUUGGCAGGAGGCAGUAUUGACAUUUGGCUUCCAUCUUUUAGCCUGAAGAUAUCUGUGAUUCAGGAGAGAAGGGCACAGACCUUACAGGGCAAAGCUAAUGUGGUGGGUGAUCUUUCCGACCACUUCUCAAAGCUGGUGUCUGCAUACUGAGGAGCAAGAGCUGUUCUAUAGACCGUGCCUUUGGAAGUCAGUGCUUGAUUACUGUGUAAUGAAACCUUAAGCUAUUUGAAGUCGUAUUUCCUCUUAUUAGCGUAAGAAUCUUGUAAGAAUCUCUUACAUUAGACUACAGGCUAAAGGAACAAUCGUUAUUUAUUUAUCUGUGCGUUCUCUUCUUAACAGAACGAAUCAGAUAUCAUGGUCAUUAGAGAAAUAACGGUUCAGUAUGGAUUUAGUCCUAUGCCAAGCCAGAGUAUUUUCAGCAUUUGAAAAGCUAAUUAUCACAUAAAUAUUUUAGAAAGCUCGUAUUGAAAUGAGUCCAUGGUGAAAGUGUAAGUGUAACUCGAAGCCCUACGGCCUCAGAAUGCUUUUCUAAGUGUGUAGAAAUCCAUGGAAGUGUAUAGAGCUUGGCUCAGGUUAAUUUUGGUCUGUGAUAUUUAUUUCCAAGUUUUUAUAAUAU